rnacentral:lncRNA from 1 species
ACAAGUGGUUCAGGGUCAGGAACCAAAUAAUUUCAUCUUAUUAUUAAUGUGAUGUGUAUAUUAACAUAAUAAUGCACAAAGAUGAUUUCCCAAAGUUGAGGAGACAAGUUAGUUUUUCUAACAUGAGGCGGAGACAUGAUAAACACUUGAGAAAAGGUUACAUGGGAUGAAUUAUCAUUUGUAUAUAUAGAUCCUCGAAUAUCAUAAUAU